rnacentral:sRNA from 1 species
CAAGCGGCCGCACAGAGGGACGUGCUUGCACGGACGGAUGCGCGGACAUUUGGCGAACGUCCAAACAUGAGGAAGAAGCCGUUUUGCGCGCGCUUUACGCGCAAAACGCGCGGAAUCCGAAUGGUUGGAGCGAUGCGAGAGCGCCCGUGGCGCGGAGCAGCGCGUCGUU